rnacentral:rRNA from 1 species
AUUGAACGCUGGCGGCAUGCCUUACACAUGCAAGUCGAACGGCAGCACGGGUGCUUGCACCUGGUGGCGAGUGGCGAACGGGUGAGUAAUAUAUCGGAACGUACCUUAUUGUGGGGGAUAACGCAGCGAAAGCUGUGCUAAUACCGCAUAACCCCUAAGGGGGAAAGCGGGGGACCGUAAGGCCUCGCGCAAUUAGAGCGGCCGAUACCUGAUUAGCUAGUUGGUGAGGUAAAGGCUCACCAAGGCAACGAUCAGUAGCUGGUCUGAGAGGACGAUCAGCCAAACUGGGACUGAGACACGGCCCAGACUCCUACGGGAGGCAGCAGUGGGGAAUUUUGGACAAUGGGGGCAACCCUGAUCCAGCAAUGCCGCGUGAGUGAAGAAGGCCUUCGGGUUGUAAAGCUCUUUUGUCAGGGAAGAAACAGCAGCUCUAACACAGUUUGCGAAUGACGGUACCUGAAGAAUAAGCACCGGCUAACUACGUGCCAGCCGCCGCAGUAA